UGGACUGAUCCCAUGUGUUGAUGGUUGGGUUUGAUUUAUUUUUAUCUGUUUUCGGCCGAGUGUGGCCUUUUAAAUUUUGAUUUCGCUAGGGCCUAGAUGGCCGUAUUUGUAUUUACCGGGACUGGCCGUUAGUGGCUUUGAAUCCCCUACCGCUCUGCGGCUUAUAUAUUAUGAAUGUUUGAAGAGUUUCAGUUUGCGUAUGUGUUUAAAUUGUCGAGAGAAAAGAAUAUGAGUUGUCAUCUCAUACCUAACUCAUAGUGUAGCGUUCUUUCGUCUGUUCGUAAAAGAUGCAGAAUUUUGUGAACGUUUAGACACGA
rnacentral:lncRNA from 1 species